AUUGACCGCUGGCGGCCGGCCUAACACAUGCAAGUCGCGCGGAUCGACGGACGGGUGAGUAAUGCCUAGGAAUCUGCCUGUUAGUGGGGGAUAACGUCCGGAAACGGGCGCUAAUACCGCAUACUAUCAGAUGAGCCUAGGUCGGAUUAGCUAGUUGGUGGGGUAAAGGCCUACCAAGGCGACGAUCCGUAACUGGUCUGAGAGGAUGAUCAGUCACACUGGAACUGAGACACGGUCCAGACUCCUACGGGAGGCAGCAGUGGGGAAUAUUGGACAAUGGGCGAAAGCCUGAUCCAGCCAUGCCGCGUUGGUGAAGAAGGUCUUCGGAUUGUAAAGCACUUUAAGUUGGGAGGCGUUACCAACAGAAUAAGCACCGUCUAACUUCGUGCCAGCAGCCGCGGUAAUAC
rnacentral:rRNA from 1 species